rnacentral:rRNA from 1 species
AGUGAACGCUGGCGGUAGGCCUAACACAUGCAAGUCGAACGGCAGCACAGUAAGAGCUUGCUCUUACGGGUGGCGAGUGGCGGACGGGUGAGGAAUACAUCGGAAUCUACUUUUUCGUGGGGGAUAACGUAGGGAAACUUACGCUAAUACCGCAUACGACCUACGGGUGAAAGCAGGGGAUCUUCGGACCUUGCGCGAUUGAAUGAGCCGAUGUCGGAUUAGCUAGUUGGCGGGGUAAAGGCCCACCAAGGCGACGAUCCGUAGCUGGUCUGAGAGGAUGAUCAGCCACACUGGAACUGAGACACGGACCAGACUCCUACGGGAGGCAGCAGUGGGGAAUGUUGGACAAUGGGCGCAAGCCUGAUCCAGCCGUACCGCGUGGGUGAAGAAGGCCUUCGGGUUGUAAAGCCCUUUUGUUGGGAAAGAAAAGCAGCAGGUUAAUACCCCGCUGUUCUGACGGUACCCAAAGAAUAAGCACCGGCUAACUUCGCG